CAGUAGCCGCGGGAAUACGUAGGGUGCGAGCGUUAAUCGGAAUUACUGGGCGUAAAGCGUGCGCAGGCGGUUCGUUAAGACAGAUGUGAAAUCCCCGGGCUUAACCUGGGAACUGCAUUUGUGACUGUAUAGCUAGAGUACGGCAGAGGGGGAUGGAAUUCCGCGUGUAGCAGUGAAAUGCGUAGAUAUGCGGAGGAACACCGAUGGCGAAGGCAAUCCCCUGGGCCUGUACUGACGCUCAUGCACGAAAGCGUGGGGAGCAAACAGGAUUAGAUACCCCUGUAGUCCCUGUCUCUUAUAC
rnacentral:rRNA from 1 species